rnacentral:lncRNA from 1 species
UAGAGUUCAAGUUUUACCCAGUGGUGCAGAAGAAAUCCAAUACUUGGUGAAGUGGAGAGGACUUCCUGAGUCAGAAGCCAGCUGGGAACCGGAGGAUUCGUUACGGCAUGAGGAGGAUCGGGUCGAAGCAUACAGAAGGAGCACAUCGACAAGAACGUCGAUCUGAUCAAGUGGGAGAGUCUGUCAGGGCCUUUUUCCUUGCAUUUUUGUUUGGCAAUGGCCUCUGACACAGUCUUGUACAUACCUUGUAACUAGAUGGCAUGAACAACUACCGCCACACCAUUUUUUCUUAUUUUGGGUGGGUUUCGGGGUGUUUUCAUCAUGUCGGAGCUUCCGAAGGCGAGCCAUGAAAAUGCAAUGCUGCUCGAUCAUUUAGAAUCCCCGGGGUGGGAUUUGGGUGGAUGCCCUGCUUGUAUAGUGUUGGGAGGGUGGGCGAGAACAAUCCAGUGGGCCGGUUUCCUUGCGGAUUCUUGCAGUGUCCAUUGUUGCCUCCCCUGCCUCCUGAGC